rnacentral:miRNA from 1 species
GCUCACUGCUCUCUCUGUCAUC